rnacentral:rRNA from 1 species
GACGAACGCUGGCGGCGUGCCUAAUACAUGCAAGUCGAACGCAGUGGGGACGGGUGAGUAACACGUGGGUAACCUCCCAUCAGAGGGGAUAACACUUGGAAACAGGUGCUAAACCGAUAGCGGUGGGUGGAACCGCGGUGCCAUUGCUAGUUGGUGGGGUAACGGCUCACCAAGGGCACGAUGCAUAGCCGACCUGAGAGGGUGAUCGGCCACACUGGGACUGAGACACGGCCCAGACUCCUACGGGAGGCAGCAGUAGGGAAUCUUCGGCAAUGGACGAAAGUCUGACCGAGCAACGCCGCGUGAGUGAAGAAGGUUUUCGGAUCGUAAAACUCUGUUGUUAGAGAAGCGGUAUCUAACCAGAAAGCCACGGCUAACUACGUGCCAGCAGCCGCGGUAAUAC